GCGACAUCUAAUAGCAGCAUUGACAAAGUCAUAUUUGUCAUCAUAAGGUACUCUAUCAUAGUUUUGCUCUUCAGUCUGUUGCUGGGAAUCUCGGCACUGAUCCGAAAACGAGGAUGCCUUAGAAUCAACAUUGAAAGAUCUUCGAAUAACGAGACAGAGCUCAGAGGAACAGAAAUUUUCCA